rnacentral:rRNA from 1 species
UACAGAGGUCUCGAGCGUUAGGCGGAAUCACUGGGCUUAAAGCGUGUGUAGGCGGAUUGCUAAGUACCUUGUGAAAUCCCACGGCUUAACCGUGGAACUGCUUGGUAUACUGGCUGUCUUGAGCCACUUAGGGGCAACCGGAACAAACGGUGGAGCGGUGAAAUGCGUAGAUAUCGUUUGGAACGCCAAUGGUGAAAACAGGUUGCUGGGAGUGUGCCGACGCUGAGACACGAAAGCCAGGGGAGCAAACGGG